GGAGAGCUAUUGUUCCAGAAGGAAAGAAAUCAGUUGGGGAAACCACAGUCAGAAGAUGAUCUUGCUGGAGCCACCAGUAUCUGAGACCUACUUUGACAGUGAAGUGCCCCAGUCACUCUGGUACGGCCUGCCUGGAAUGGCUGCCUCCAUUAUGGUUGUCUCUGUCCUGGUGUUGUCUGUUGUGUGGAGAUCACAUUCUCAGGAGGAGAUUACAAACCUGUGGGCAUUUUAUAAAUAAAAGCAGUUGUACAAC